rnacentral:rRNA from 1 species
UACGGGGGGGGUAAGCGUUGUUCGGAAUUACUGGGCGUAAAGGGCUCGUAGGCGGCCAACUAAGUCAUACGUGAAAUCCCUCAGCUUAACUGGGGAACUGCGUGUGAUACUGGAUGGCUUGGAUUUGGGAGAGGGAUGCGGAAUUCCAGGUGUAGCGGUGAAAUGCGUAGAUAUCAGGAGGAACACCGGUGGCGAAGGCGGAUCUCUGGGCCUUACCUGACGCUCAGGCGCGAAAGCUAGGGGAGCGAACAGG